rnacentral:rRNA from 1 species
GUCGAACGAUGAUCCGGUGCUUGCACCGGGGAUUAGUGGCGAACGGGUGAGUAACACGUGAGUAACCUGCCCUUAACUCUGGGAUAAGCCUGGGAAACUGGGUCUAAUACCGGAUAUGACUGAUCAUCGCAUGGUGGUUGGUGGAAAGCUUUUUGUGGUUUUGGAUGGACUCGCGGCCUAUCAGCUUGUUGGUGAGGUAAUGGCUUACCAAGGCGACGACGGGUAGCCGGCCUGAGAGGGUGACCGGCCACACUGGGACUGAGACACGGCCCAGACUCCUACGGGAGGCAGCAGUGGGGAAUAUUGCACAAUGGGCGCAAGCCUGAUGCAGCGACGCCGCGUGAGGGAUGACGGCCUUCGGGUUGUAAACCUCUUUCAGUAGGGAAGAAGCGAAAGUGACGGUACCUGCAGAAGAAGCGCCGGCUAACUACGUGCCAGCAGCCGCGGUAAUACGUAGGGCGCAAGCGUUAUCCGGAAUUAUUGGGCGUAAAGAGCUCGUAGGCGGUUUGUCGCGUCUGCCGUGAAAGUCCGGGGCUCAACUCCGGAUCUGCGGUGGGUACGGGCAGACUAGAGUGAUGUAGGGGAGACUGGAAUUCCUGGUGUAGCGGUGAAAUGCGCAGAUAUCAGGAGGAACACCGAUGGCGAAGGCAGGUCUCUGGGCAUUAACUGACGCUGAGGAGCGAAAGCAUGGGGAGCGAACAGGAUUAGAUACCCUGGUAGUCCAUGCCGUAAACGUUGGGCACUAGGUGUGGGGGACAUUCCACGUUUUCCGCGCCGUA